rnacentral:rRNA from 1 species
ACUCAAAUGAAUUGACGGGGACCCGCACAAGCGGUGGAGCGUGUUGUUUAAUUCGACGAUAAGCGAAGAACCUUACCAAGGUUUGACAUCCUGCUAAGGUCUCCGAAAGGAGACUUUGCCUUCGGGCCGCAGUGACAGGUGAUGCAUGGCCGUCGUCAGCUCGUGUCGUGAGAUGUUAGGUUAAGUCCUUCAACGAGCGCAACCCCUAUGAAUAGUUGAAUUUUUCUAUUCAGACUGCCCCGGUAACGGGGAGGAAGGUGGGGAUGAUGUCAGGUCAUUAUUUCCCUUACACCUUGGGCCACAAACACGCUACAAUGGCCGGUACAGAGGGCUGCCAAGCAGCAAUGCGGAGCAAAUCCCAUCAAAGCCGGUCCCAGUUCGGAUUGGGGGCUGAAACCCGCCCCCAUGAAGCCGGAAUCGCUAGUAAUGGUAGAUCAGCAUGCUACCGUGAAUACGUUCCCGGGUCUUGCACACACCGCCCGU